AUUGAACGCUGGCGGCAUGCCUUACACAUGCAAGUCGAACGGUAACGGGCCUUCGGGUGCCGACGAGUGGCGAACGGGUGAGUAAUGUAUCGGAACGUACCUUUCAGGGGGGGAUAACGUAGCGAAAGUUACGCUAAUACCGCAUAUUCUGUGCGCAGGAAAGCAGGGGAUCGCAAGACCUUGCGCUGAUUGAGCGGCCGAUAUCAGAUUAGCUAGUUGGUGAGGUAAAGGCGCACCAAGGCGACGAUCUGUAGAGGGUCUGAGAGGAUGAUCCGCCACACUGGAACUGAGACACGGUCCAGACUCCUACGGGAGGCAGCAGUGGGGAAUUUUGGACAAUGGGGGCAACCCUGAUCCAGCCAUGCCGCGUGAGUGAAGAAGGCCUUCGGGUUGUAAAGCUCUUUCGGCCGGGAAGAAAUCGCAUGGGCUAAUACCCUGUGCGGAUGACGGUACCGGCAUAAGAAGCACCGGCUAACUACGUGCCAGCCGCCGCCGUAAGAC
rnacentral:rRNA from 1 species